GUUUGUUAUAGCCAAUUCUGUGGCUUUGUUCUGUAUCAUAUAUAGAAACCACACGGGUUAGUCAUGAGAUCUGUUCAUUAGUGAUCAGACAUUAAUGAUACCAGAAUUUUUAUAAUUAUGGGUGUCAAAAUAAGAUAGGGGUCUAUUUAUGAACUCAUAGGUGUUCUUAUAAUUAAUACCCAAUUAAUCAAUUUAUUAGGUUCCUUAUGCUUGCGAACCAGUUAGAUUCUAUACACAUAUGAAUCUUCCCCAUAUUCGAAUAUCUGAAUGUCAGACUCAAGCUGAUGAUAUAUGAGGUAUGGUCCUCGCUGUAUCAAUCAAGUCCCAUUGAAAUAUUGAAACGUUGUUCAUACAUCUUUGAAUGACCUUUUAUGUGCUGACAAUAUGUUCUGAAAUUAAGAGAUUUUACCCCUGAUGAAGUCUUGGAACAAGACGAAACGCGUUGGGUUAUUUAUCUAUCUAUUAUCUGAUGUUACCUCCGAAUCUACAAUAAGGAGAAGGAGGAAAUCGUAGUGAUAUAUCUACGCUUUUUCCUCAUCACUACAAACUGAUUGUUCAAAUUGUGCGACAAAUGUAAAUGUAUCAACUCUGUAUACUUAUGAACAUUUGUGUCGGGUUUAUAUGUUGUUUUAAUAAAUUUUUAUGUUAGUAUUUGUUAUCUGACGUAAUUUAUCCGGAGAGUACUGUAAGGGUCCGUUUUUAGGUAGGGCGUAGAUAUAACUCC